CCCUUAGAUGUUCUGGGCCGCACGCGCGUUACACUGAUGCAUUCAACAAGUUCUUUCACCUUGGCCGAGAGGCCUGGACAAUCUUUGAACGUGCAUCGUGAUAGGGAUAGAUUAUUGCAAUUAUUAAUCUUGAACGAGGAAUUCCUAGUAAACGCAGAUCAUCAAUCUGCAUUGAUUACGUCCCUGCCCUUUGUGCACACCGCCCGUCGCACCUACCGAUUGAAUGGUCCGGUGAAGCCUCGGGAUUGUGGCUGGUUCCCUUUAUUGGGGAUCGGUUGCGAGAACUUGUCUAAACCUUAUCAUUUAGAGGAAGGUGAAGUCGUANCA
rnacentral:rRNA from 1 species